CGCAGGAAAAGUCGGUUUCCCAGGACUGCCAUGAAAGUCGUCCUUUAUGUCGCCGUCAUCGCAGCCGCGUUGCUGGCAAACGCAGAGCAAGACACGGAUGAAGUCCACCAGGUCCGCGUGAAAAGGGAAAACAAUGUGACGAACGACACGGAGCACAGCCUGUCGGAUUUCGAUGAUGGAGGCAUCAUCAUCGAGGUAA